rnacentral:lncRNA from 1 species
CCCACUAUGAUCCAUUUCCCCUGCCAUUUGUUCUAAAUGUGCACCAACUCUUGGAAGAAAUCUAGUCGCCAACAUUGAUCAUUUGGCUGUACACAUUUGUGAUUAGCCAUUGCAUCUCAUUCAUAGGAGGCUGUUAAAGGUGAUGUAGGGUACUAAGUGAGAAUUCACCUUGAUAGAAUGUCAGGUCAUCAACUAGAGAUGAGUUCCAGACAUUUAGG